UGGGGCGUCGCCAAGCUGGUAAGGCAUGGGACUUUGGAUCCCAUAUUCGCAGGUUCAAAUCCUGCCGCCCCAG
rnacentral:tRNA from 1 species